rnacentral:rRNA from 1 species
GACGAACGCUGGCGGCGUGCUUAACACAUGCAAGUCGAACGGAAAGGCCCUGCUUGCAGGGUCCUCCAGUGGGCAACGGGUGAGUAACUCGUGGGUGAUCCGCCCUGUACUUCUUGAUAAGCCUGGGAAACUGGGUCCAAUACCGGAUAGGACCCACUUUCAGCGGGUUGGUUGGAAAGUUUUUUCGGUGUAGGCUGAGCUCGCGGCCUAUCAGCUUGUUGGUGGGGUGAUGGCCUACCAAGGCGGCGACGGGUAGCCGGCCAGUGGGGGUGGACGGCCAUCUUGGGUCUGAGGGGCGGCCCAGGCGGCGACGGGUGGCAGCAGGGGGGAAGCUUGCACAAUGGGCGCAAGGCGGGUGAAGCGGGGCCGCGGGGGGGAUGACGGUCUUCGGGUUGUAGACUACUUGCGCGAGGGACCAAGGUUGUUGUGACGGUACCUAGAUAAGAAGCACCGGCUAACUACGUG